CCCCUCCGCCCACAGAUCGUCCCUCUCAGCCGCCAAAUGUGACGUCAACAUGAAUGGCAGGGUGAGCGCUGCCGACACUCCGUAAGACCAGCCAAUGUUUGUUGGCAAUCGUAGAAUUGGAGUUGUGUUAGAAUAUUUCUUGUGACGACGCCCGAUAGCGCCGCAACUGCAGUGGAGUCAUUAAUGUACUUCUCGCUCAUCAGUGCCGUACGUUUGAUCGUGACGUUGGCAGAAGCAGAAGACUUAGUGAGUCAUCGGGAGACGUCGAAGUGGACUGUACCCUAAAGAUCACGAGAAAUUUCGCGUAAAUCAUAACUCUGCCCAAAUUGCAACGAAAUAAAGGAAAAUAGUCUUUGAAAAACUAUACCGGCUGUCAUCAACUAAUAGUACAAUAAAACUAUCAAGCGUUCGGAAUAAUAGAAUUAUGGUAUUAUGGAAGAUUAAGAAAUUAUGGGCAAAAUUCUGCUCAGAGUACGCAAAAAUUGGUUAAAGGUUCAAGCAGAUAUUGCCGUUUUAGAAAAACAUGUCGAGUCUUUCUUUUUUUUAUCCUGAGAUGCACUCUAUUAUUUAGAUAUGCCUUUGGAGAAGGAAACGCGUGAAAUGUCACACAGAAGGUUACUCGCAUAACCGCAAAGGUUUGAUAAGUCGUACAUACGAGCACCUUUUCUUCUUAGCAUUUGAAAUCAUAUCAGACGACUCGCAGUAAUCAUGAUGAGUUUUCAGAUGUAAGCCUAUCGAAGAGGGUCGGUAACUGCCACUUGCUUCAUCACAUUGUGACAUUAUUGCUAUCUACGGGCAGAUCUAUGUGGUAGAAAAGAAAUUUGUGUUCUGUUUCGCUGCACUCGUGACGUCAAACUAACGAUGACUCAUACACUUGACGACGCCGGAAGUGAUUGAAGAAAAGUUGGAAAAUGACAGACGAGAUUCGUCGAGUUCAGAGAGAACACUUUCCGAAACCUAGAUGUUUAAGACGCUUAAUUGCUACCUGGGACCCGCUAUUAUUUUUGGAACCACUUGGGUGAUACCAAAAUGCCUGGAGAGGUCAUCGCGUUCGUGUGCAUCUUGUGAAUUUGCUGCUGCUGCUGCUGCUGCACGAGUGUAUGCAGCUUUUGAGGUCGCGAUUGGAUUGGGCGUUGGUUCAGAUAUGUUCAAACGUCGGGUAGGCUCCUACUAUGAACCAACUACGAAAGCUUCCGUGACAUUAGUUACCGUGCUACUGUAUGUGUAUUCAGGCGAUACCUUGAUUGCUUUCGAUGGAUCAAAAGUAACCAGCCUUAUGUUCGAUGAUAUUUUAGGGUAAUCGAAGUCAACUUGUUAUCAAGAACGUCUAUUCAUAGAUGUUCGUAUUUGAUUGCAAAUGAAGCUUUCAAUGAUUCACCUGUGUCAGCAAUUGGUUGCAAAUACUUCAUCAGGCAGGAUGUGCUGACAUAUACAAAUAUACUAUGUAUAUUAGUAGGGUUGAAAUUUAUAUGAGCAAUAUCAAGGGACAAAUUUGUACGUGAUAUCAAAUGCCGACUCGAAUGGGAGUAGGAAAUUUUGAGUCUUCGGUCCGUUGGCAGCAAGCAGAAGGUCUGCCGCUCUCAUGCCGGUCAUAAACUUCAUGCCCAGGCGGGUAUGCCGAUUUGUCAGAAAUAGGCGUUUUUCCUCAACGGAAAAAGUGUUUUCCUCCGGGCGCAGCCAACGGAGCACUGAUGUUUUGUAAUGAAAUUACGGCUUUAGAAUUGUUUUACAGAAGUUAUUCAACUCACUAUUUAGUUAUAUUUCUUCUUACAGACCGUAAUCAAGCAAAUACCACGGUAAAAAUGUCACAUCGAUUUUCCUUAAGUUAUCUUGAUUUUCAUAUCUUUUUUAGACAAAAUAGGCCCUUUAUUUGGCUUCUCAUUUUUCGGAUUGUACCUCUACGCAGGAUAGUGCACUCCUGCAGAGCCAUAUUACGGGCGUUUAUUCCAAUGGUUAACAAGUGUCAACUGGAUGAAGCACCGCGACAGUUUUCUAUGAAGGAACAGAGCCAUCUGAUUGCCCUACGACUCCUGAACGAUCUCAGAAAGUAGGCAUUUCCUCUGUUAUAGAAAAAAUUGUUAUUUUUUUUAAGUUUCUCAUUGUAGACUUGGUUCCGCUUAAGUUACGAUGGAAUGAAGAUAUACAUUGAUACAGUGGCUAUAGCCAUAAGAAUAUAAUUCAAUAAUUUAAUACCGGCACAAGGACCAAUAAUUCAACUGACUGAUUUUCAGAUUACCAUUAUAUUUACCGUUAUUACGAUAUAACCUUCUAUGAUGGCGGACAGGUGUUCUCCGUGCCGGUAGUUGAUGAGAGGGAAUAAUAUAAUUUCUCCUUCCAAUCUCUAACCGUACUUUAUGGCUGUUAAUAAUAUGAUAAUAUGGACUAAGAUACUGGUCCAAUAUAUUAGCAUUAUAUUAUCAUAUGUAUAUCAAUAUCAACAUAAUAGUGUCCUACUAAAACAAACGUGCACUGUCCUAAAAGUGGCCUAAAGACUAGUUGUAAUCGUAUAACAAGCAAGCCAUGCUCUUCAGUAGGUUCUACAGCGGUUAGCGCAAAUGCUUUUUUAUUUGUUUAUUUAAAUUUUUUUUAUCUAGUAUUCGGGAUUGGUGAUAUCGAGAUUACCGUAAAGUUCGUCCCAGCUAGAAAAAUUAGUGUUACUUUCAACAUAUGCAUAUUCUACUAAUUCGGAAGUUGUUAAACUCUUUGGAAGUCAAACGAAGGAAAGCUUUAAUGGUUCAUUUUUGCGUUAAGAAGAAGGUAAUCUUUCAUAUAUUUUACCAAAGGUAGGCGUUCCAAGGUUUCCUGCAUCGACAAACGUGAGCCAUCCAUGUUUGCCGAUGCAGGCAUCUUUGCAUAUUUUGUUGUACAAGACGUGCGCAGCGUAGAUCUUCAUAAGGCGCUCAAGGUCUCUAAAGUGUUUCCUAAUGAUGUGCUGCAAUUAGUGGUCGCUAGGCUAGGACUUGCCAUUCAGCUUCUACAUUUCAAAGGUUCUAUUCAUCGUGAUGUUGAAGUAUGCACACCGUUUUACAUGAAAACCCUUUAUAUAUUUCUCUCGAGUAUGGAAUACUGUUAAUGCAUAAUUUUCGCGUUCAGUCAGCUAGCUAAUGUCUGGCUGUCCUGAAAUUUUGUCUAUUUGCUAGACUUCAAACGCAGUAAUUAUGCCUGAUUGCCGCGUUAAACUAAUCGAUUUUGACACUGCUAAGGCUAUGCGAAGGCCGAUACGUAAGCCUGACUGCCUAUUGACAAAUGAGACGGUUAAAAAAACCGUAUGGGAGAGCCAUCGAUCGGUAUGUAUCCCUUCGAGUCGUGCGCGUGUUAUCGUCAAACGCGGAAAUGCGAAGUAACGAACUGCUUAAUUUAGGAACUUUAGGAAAAGCUUAAUUUAGGAAAAGGAUAAGAAGCUUUGAAAUAACGGCGAUCUUUCCGCACACCUAGUCUUGUACAUCUGGUUAUUAAAAUGGAGCUUAUUAGAACUUCCACAGGCCGAUGUGCGAAAAUGCGUAGCUAGUUUCCUGCUAACAAUUGAUCCAACCUAGAUGGGCUGUCGGAGUGACCGUGUUCCAGCUGGCAAACGGAUGGACACCCUUUCGUAAGACAAAAGUGGUUAGUCAGCUCCAAGACAAUAUUUGUCAGGGUCGGUUGAAACAGAACCCUGUAGCUCAUCUGCAACCGGAGGACAAGGCCCAUAUGUCAAGCCUUCUUCACCGCAACCCACGGGGUUACCUUCGAAAGAUUAUUUAGGUCAAUACUAGCCAACGACUUCGCCUGAGGCAGAAAAAAAAGAAGCAAAAAUGGUUUAGCGUUGAAGUUUUCAAGGUCAGUAAGGUGCGACGUCUAUGAUGUCGCAAUAAUGAAAAUUCGAUUAGCGCUGCCAAGUCCAGUGUUAACUUUAACAUUUCUGACGAUGUCUAGGAAACGUUUACUGUACACAUUACGGACUUCCUUAAACUUGUCCUACAGGAUUGGCACCGCGACUAGGUUUUUUAAAAUACGAUCUGCUUUUACUAAAAACAGUAUACGUAUUAAUCACAUGGGCAAGCCCGUGUGGGUCCGCUAGGUAAAACUUAAAUUAAAAAAAAAGUGCGCUUGCGUAAUCCUAUAGGAGGUGAAAAAGCAUAACAAGCUGUAUACUUUGACAGCAAGACGCUUCUCAGAGUGCAUUCAAAAGCAUAGAGCUGAUAUAGUUGUCGAAGCGGAAGACGUCUUCGAGGAGCCCGAACUUCCUACAGGCCUUUCUCUUUAGCCUUCCUUUUUUUGCGAAAUCCGAAAUACUCGUCAAACCAGUCAGUAUCGCAUCACAGACGCAGCAAAAGAGCUCAAACAGCCGAUUCUCAACAAGGUGUUCAGUCUCAACAGCAAGGUACUCUUUGUGUGAAUUUCGCUCUAACUUUAAAUUAGUUAAAUAAUAGCAAAUUUAGCUUGUCAAAAGCCGAACUUGACAUUGUUCAUAAUGUGGCAGCAGGGUCACUUGCAGUAUAAAGCGGGGUUCUUCGCAGUAUGUACUCGCGUUAUUUAAUCUUAAAAUAAAAAAAGGUAGAAAAUUUUCAUUUUACAUUUUCUGCGCACAGCAAAAAAGGUUUUUACUGCUGUAGCUGCUAUAGUUUGAUGAAUAAUAUAUGCGAUCAAAGCCUUUCCAAUAAAUAUUGAAACUGGUAUCAUGCCCGAUCGAAUAUUUUACUCAUUCAUUGCUAGAACUACUCGGGAUUCUACAGGACUUUUAAAUCCCUUGAUUUUGAAUUUGCAAUGAUCUCCCACGUUUUUAUACAUACAAUUUUAAAAUGAAGAGAAGCGCGUUUAUCCUUUGCCUAUAAAUUUCAUCGAUAGAAACUCUGCGAGCUAUGAACUAUAGAAGAUCCAAGCAGUUCUUAUACAAUUUACCAAGGCUUCAGGUCCAAAAUGUAAAAUUCGUAUUUUAUUCAAAUAGUUGUAGUUUUAAUUGUUUUCGAUGGGAAAAUGUUUUUUGGAGCCAUCAAGCUGUGGGCGUUUGUAUAGUUUCCAUUUACGCGCAGAAGCCAACGGUCUCACAGCAGGCUGCUUGCAUACAUUUCAUUUUACGAUUCUUCAUUUAUGCAUCAUCCGUUGCAGGCGUUAAAACAGUUUUCUGCAUUUUAUUACGGUCUCUUAAUCAUAACGUGGAAAAGGUAGUUCUUGCCCGAGCGAUUUCGGAAUUGUCGUUAGCGUAGCACGAUACUGGAGUUCAACUCAAUUACAAAAUCAGGUUCCGGUAGUCAUUCAGACGAUGCGUAGAAUGAACGCUCAUUCCAGGGUAACUAUUUAAGCAAUUUUUGUUAUAAGCUAUUACAGCGUCCUAUUUGGGUUUUUUUAUUGUUGACGUCUUACCGUCAUCAAGUUUCUGAUUGAACCAUGGCGGUAAAAUUGAAUUGGUAUAUCAUCACGACAACAACCAUGUUUUCAGAUUUUCCCUGGCGAUGUAAUCACAGGAAUAUCCUUGGAACCUGUCCCGAAAAUUAUUACGCCAGAAGUGCUAAAUUACUUCCGAACUAGAAAGGAUUUUCUUUUGGUAAGUUAUUUUCAGGUGACAGAUCUCUUGUUGAAUGUUUUUGUGCAUCCCUAAAAUUCCGAAAAUUGUAAGUUUGUACACCUUAAGGUAGCGCAUUUGUUGAUGUCACGACAGAUAUUUAACAUAAUAAAAUUUACGGACGAAAGGUGGAUUAGGCUUGCGUGUAUAAGCUUUUUUUUUUAUCUCUAAAAUAUGUGAACAAUAAUAUCGGAGGAUCGUGAACGAAGGUCAACCAGUUAAUACACUGAGAUAUUAAUAGCUUCGGGUGGCACUAGUAUCUGGUUUGCGGGAUUUGCGCGGCGGAUACGGCUCCGGUGACGCCGAAGAGAUAGAAUGGCUUGAAGAUGAGCUGUUCAAGAAGAUCAAAACGGCCGGGUACGGGACGAAACAACCGUCUUACUUAUCGGAUUUGAAACUCGAGGAGGCUAGUCGACGCACUGCACUUUGACGUACCAGGACAUGAUGUUGCAAGUCAAGCACCAGGAAUAUAAUAAAGAUACAAAACAAUGCAGGGAGGUUAUAGCAGACGAACCGGUCUUGACGUGAGCGAUUUUUCAGCUAUUUGAUAAACAACAUGUGCUUAAGAUGCAAAUAAGCAUACUUGUAUUUCGAACACUCUGCGGAAGUGAGAAUUCUAAAGAGCACGUGCAUUUGGGCAGUUGUGUUGCAGCUCACGGCCAAUUUCGUGUGUGUUUCACAUGGAUUUUUUAGUCUGCAAAAAGAAUUUCUGGAUCAGAACAUUUGUGAAUUAAUGAUUUACAAGUUAAGCUCGAGUACAUAGGAAGUACUUACGGUGUAG